CCUACUUAAAAAUCUCUGCCUUUGUAAAUGGAUAUUUUUUUCUCUGUAUUAAAAGAGAAGCUAAUGUAGGUGCAUGAUGCAUCUUUGCAUUGUUAAUGCUGUCAGAAAAAGAUGCAUGAAAUGACCAGGUGGGAACAGCCCCAUAGGAAGGAACUCUUCCAAAUGGAACACGUUGCGAGUUUCCACUUGGGUACUUGUAAUAGGAUACACUCUGCCUGCGUUUACACAACUUACCAAUAAUAUAUUGCAGAAGUAUGCAAAUUUUUUUUUUUAGUUAUCGUGCCUAAGGCUGUCACAGAAGCAAUUUCUCAUUUUUCUAAGCACACCCAUUCAAAUGAUAUCUGUCAGGUAGAAGGACAAUGUUAUGCAUGUAUUCCUGAAAUGCUUACAGCAGCUUUUGACUAUGUGCUGUCCUACAUUUAUACUUCAGAACAACCACAUUUAUGAGCAUGCAAAUCAACAAGGUUUUUGCAUGUGCGUGUUCAUGUGUAACACAUUAACGUUGCAGGUGGUGAUGAAUGGCUGUGAAAAUAUGUUUCUCCGGAGAGCUCUUCGCUUUCUCGUCAGGCGGGAGAGGAGCCGGAGAAGAUCAAUGGCCUUCAGCAGCUGAAGUGAUUCUCCCGUGGCUCGGCGGCUGCUUAAACCCGCGUGUUUCCUCAGAGCUGUCAGAUGGAGAGCAAGGUCUCAUUGUUCAGCGAUGACACCAACUGAAUCCAUCGAUGGACGACCUGAUCCAAUCUUGAUAUCCAGUGUCUGCAUCUCUCCUUCAUAGUGUGGUUUCUCCUGAACUUCCUUUGGUUGUCCCUGAUCCCAUCUAUCUGUGUGCCUGGCUACCAAUACUCCUCUGGCCCCUUUGAUUCUCAUCCAUAUACAUCCUGCAAUUCAUCUCCAUUAACGCCUGUUAUUCACCCUGCCAUUCUAUUUAAAUAAACUGUUUAAUUCC